rnacentral:rRNA from 1 species
UGCAGUCGACGAGAAGUCACCUUCGGGUGACGAGUACAGUGGCGAACGGGUGAGUAACACGUGGGCAACCUGCCCCUAGGUUGGGGAUAACACUUCCAACGAGGUGCUAAUACCGAAUGACAAGGCGAGUUGAUGACUCGUUUUUAAAGAUGGCCUCUACUUGUAAGCUGUCGCCUAGGGAUGGGCCCGCGUCGUAUUAGCUUGUUGGUAGGGUAAUGGCCUACCAAAGCGAGCGAUGCGUAGCGCGGCCUGAGAGGGUGAACGGCCACACGUGGCACUGAGAUAGAGGGCCAGUCUCCUACGGGAGCCAGCAUUCUAGAAAUUUGCACAAUCGCCGAAAGGCGGAUGCAGCGACACCACGUGGAGGAUGAAGCCCUUCGGGGUGUAAACUCGUGUCAGGAGGGAAGAAUGCGCGGGGGUUGGUACCGCUCGUUGCUUGACGGUACGUUCAGAGGAGGCUCCGGCUAACUACGUGCCAGCAGCCGCGGUAAUACGUAGGGGAGCGAGCGUUGGUCGGAUUUAGCUGGGCGUAAAGGGCACGUAGCGCGGGUAUGCAAGUCAGAUGUGAAAUCCGUCUGGCUCAACCAGGAGAACUGCAUCCGAUUCUGCACACCUUG